rnacentral:rRNA from 1 species
GCUUGUCUCAAAGAUUAAGCCAUGCAUGUCUUAGUGUAAAUAACUCUUAUGAAACUGCGAAUGGCUCAUUAAAUCAGUUAUCGUUUAUUUGAUGGUCCCUUACUACAUGGAUAACCGUAGUAAUUCUAGAGCUAAUACAUGCACAAAGGCCCGACUCACGAAGGGCUGUAUUUAUUAGAUUUAAAGCCGACAUCUUUUGGUGAUUCAUAAUAACCAAGCGAAUCGUCGGUUUACCGACGAUAGAUCGUUCAAGUUUCUGACCUAUCAGCUUUGGUCGGUAGGGUAUUGGCCUACCGAGGCAAUGACGGGUAACGGAGAAUUAGGGUUCGAUUCCGGAGAGGGAGCCUGAGAAACGGCUACCACAUCUAAGGAAGGCAGCAGG